GAAAGCCGUAUUCGAUGAAAGUCGUAUGUACGGCUUGGCGGGAAUCUUUAGAAAGAGGAUCUUUUGUCUGUUGCAACUGGAAACAAGAAUACUCAGUUUCCUUAUUAGUUGGCUUUACUCUUU
rfam:Triticum urartu cultivar G1812 contig855867, whole genome shotgun sequence.